GGUGAUUUGAUCCAGUUUGAUAUUUUAUAUAAAUUUAAUUUUUAAUUUAAUUUGAUUUUUUUUAUCAGAAAUUAAAAUAACCAAACCAACCAAUAUCACAAAACUAACAUAGUUUUACUACCUACAUAUACUAUAACAUAUUCUUUAUUUUCUUCCCAAUCCUAAUUUUUUUUUCCUACAUCUCAUUCUUUCGGCUGCCCCACUACAUCUUCA
rnacentral:misc_RNA from 1 species